GAUGAACGCCGGCGGCGUGCCUAAUACAUGCAAGUCGAGCGAACGGACGAGAAGCUUGCUUCUCUGAUGUUAGCGGCGGACGGGUGAGUAACACGUGGAUAACCUACCUAUAAGACUGGGAUAACUUCGGGAAACCGGAGCUAAUACCGGAUAAUAUUUUGAACCGCAUGGUUCAAAAGUGAAAGACGGUCUUGCUGUCACUUAUAGAUGGAUCCGCGCUGCAUUAGCUAGUUGGUAAGGUAACGGCUUACCAAGGCAACGAUGCAUAGCCGACCUGAGAGGGUGAUCGGCCACACUGGAACUGAGACACGGUCCAGACUCCUACGGGAGGCAGCAGUAGGGAAUCUUCCGCAAUGGGCGAAAGCCUGACGGAGCAACGCCGCGUGAGUGAUGAAGGUCUUCGGAUCGUAAAACUCUGUUAUUAGGGAAGAACAUAUGUGUAAGUAACUGUGCACAUCUUGACGGUACCUAAUCAGAAAGCCACGGCUAACUACGUGCCAGCAGCCGCGGUAAUACGUAGGUGGCAAGCGUUAUCCGGAAUUAUUGGGCGUAAAGCGCGCGUAGGCGGUUUUUUAAGUCUGAUGUGAAAGCCCACGGCUCAACCGUGGAGGGUCAUUGGAAACUGGAAAACUUGAGUGCAGAAGAGGAAAGUGGAAUUCCAUGUGUAGCGGUGAAAUGCGCAGAGAUAUGGAGGAACACCAGUGGCGAAGGCGACUUUCUGGUCUGUAACUGACGCUGAUGUGCGAAAGCGUGGGGAUCGAACAGGAUUAGAUACCCUGGUAGUCCACGCCGUAAACGAUGAGUGCUAAGUGUUAGGGGGUUUCCGCCCCUUAGUGCUGCAGCUAACGCAUUAAGCACUCCGCCUGGGGAGUACGACCGCAAGGUUGAAACUCAAAGGAAUUGACGGGGACCCACACAAGCGGUGGAGCAUGUGGUUUAAUUCGAAGCAACGCGAAGAACCUUACCAAAUCUUGACAUCCUUUGACAACUCUAGAGAUAGAGCCUUCCCCUUCGGGGGACAAAGUGACAGGUGGUGCAUGGUUGUCGUCAGCUCGUGUCGUGAGAUGUUGGGUUAAGUCCCGCAACGAGCGCAACCCUUAAGCUUAGUUGCCAUCAUUAAGUUGGGCACUCUAAGUUGACUGCCGGUGACAAACCGGAGGAAGGUGGGGAUGACGUCAAAUCAUCAUGCCCCUUAUGAUUUGGGCUACACACGUGCUACAAUGGACAAUACAAAGGGCAGCGAAACCGCGAGGUCAAGCAAAUCCCAUAAAGUUGUUCUCAGUUCGGAUUGUAGUCUGCAACUCGACUACAUGAAGCUGGAAUCGCUAGUAAUCGUAGAUCAGCAUGCUACGGUGAAUACGUUCCCGGGUCU
rnacentral:rRNA from 1 species